UAUUUACGCUCCUUGUCGUGAAUACCCCCCUGAUUUUAACAUAUUUUUAUUAGUUUACUAUUACACUUUUUUAAUGAAAGAUUAGUAUAUUGUUUUGCUUGAUAACAUUUAAUUUUAUUGGCUGGCAACAUAGGAGAGGCAUUAAAAAUUGUGACACAUGUAUGAAAGUGCCAAACGAUGUCCAUAUAUAUUGCAAAUUAAUAUGAAAUUUUCAUUCUUGUUAGCAGAAUACUUUGCAAAUUUGGUAUAAUAAAACAUGGUAUCUGGGAAAAUGCACAAGCCUUUUCUCCUGAUGUCAACAAAUGCGAAAUUCCCGGAAGUGUCGCCUACCGAAACAUCCCCGGAAUCUGUACUGCAUUUUUUAAUUUCUGUCAAAAAUUCCGAAUGAUAUCAUAUUUUCUUUUAGUAUACCUUUCUAUAUUGGUUUUAAGUACUAUUCUCCAAGAGGGGUUCGUAUGUUUUAGUCCUGCAGCAUGAAAACUUCACUUACACGACAUACGUGAAAAAUAUUUCAAGAACUGUUUUUUAAAUAUUCUUAUUUUAGUAUGGGGCAAACAUACAAUGUACGCACUGAUUCCUUGUUCAAAAUCGUAUUUCAGUUAUAUGCAUUGCAGAAAUAAAAGAUGCUAAUCUAUAGGUAAUAGUAAAAUAUUAUUUGGAAAUUACUUGGUACUACGUGUAUACAUGGUUAUUUUCACAUAGCAGCACCGAAACUUUAUAUAAUGUUGUUUAGCUAACAGAUUAUUAUAUUAAAGGUUUGAUUUCAUUAAAUUUGAUAUUGAAGACUGUACAUGUAUUCAUGCAAGAAAUAUUUGGGUAAAUUAACCGUGAUCUAAUUUUUUGAAGUGUUUCUGGAAAUCAAGUUUACUUAAAUCACACAAAGGAUGAGCCUCAUGCAUAACGAACAUUAAUGCUUUUACAAAUGUUGUCAUAUGGAUAUAUGUACUUACAACAGCUUUGAUAUGUACAGGCUAGAAAUUGCUAAAAGAAGUAAGUUGUGUAAAAGUUGAAUGCAACUGAAUCUGUUUUAGCAUACACGCAGAACAUGGAUAUCAUGUAGCAAGUUACAUGAAACCAAAACUAUCUGAAAUAGGCAGAUACUUAUCUAUGAAGUAAAAAUUAUAUCUAUGUGAGGUAUUAGCGUAUCAUAAGCACAUAAGAUAACUUAAAAGUGUAUGUGCUUUUCACGCAGCAAAGAGCAAAGAUAAGAUAGAUAACAGAUUCUUUGGAAACGAGAGCAGUUUAAGGAAAUAUGUUUAUCCACACAGAAGAAAGACCACAUGUGUGUGGGGUGUGUAAGAAAUCAUUUAAGCUAAAAAACAAUUUGAGCAUACAUAUGCUUCUUCACACAGGAGAGAAGCCUCAUGUGUGUGAAAUAUGUAAUAAGUCAUUUACCGAAAAGGUGAUUUAAAGGAUCAUAUACUUGUCCAUAUUGGGGAAAAAUGUCAUGUGUGUAUGAUGUGUAACAAAUCAUUUACACAAAAAGCUUAUUUAAAAAGGCAUAUGUUUAUUCACACGGGAGAGAAACCUCAUGUUUGUGAAAUAUGCAGCAAAUCGUUUAGGAAAAAGAGUAUUUUUAAAAGUACAUAUGCGUAAUCACACAGAAGAAAGACCAUAUGUUUGUCAAUUAUGUAGCAAGUCAUUUAAACAAAAGAGUGGUUUAAUUAUGCAUAUGCGUCUUGAAAAAGGGGAGAAAUCUGUGGUCUGUGAAGUAUGUAAUAAGUCAUUUAGAGAAAAAGGUCAUUUAAAUAUGCAUAUGCUGAUACAUACUGGAGAAAAACCUCAUGUGUGUGAGAUAUGCAACAAGUCAUUCAGACAGAAAGGUGAUUUAAAUAAACAUACACCUCUUCAUACUGGGGAAAAGCCUCAUGUCUGCGAUGUGUGUAAGAGGUCAUUUGGGAUAAAAAGUUAUUUGAAGAGACAUAUGCUCAUUCACACAGAAGAAAAAUCUCAUGUUUGUAUGGUAUGUAAGAAAUCAUUUAGAAAUAAGGGAGAUUUAAGGAGGCAUUUGCUUAUUCACACAGGAGAAAAACCUCAUGUGUGUGAGAUAUGCAAGAAGUCAUAUGGACGAAAAAGUGUUUUGCUAACACAUAUGCAUAUCCACACAAAAGAGAAGUCUCUUGUCCUUUAGAAUAAAAAUUAGUUUAAUGGGAACUUUUGCUUAUGCAUGUGGGAAAGGCUUAUUUGUUCAGAAGAGAAAUUACCUACAUCUGAUAUACUUGUUUGUAGAACUGAGAAUCUUUAUUAUAAAAUUUUGAGCCUAACAAGUCUGCAAACCACAGUUAUUACCAUGGGUAAGAAGCAAGACAGAAGGAGAAGAAAGAAAUCCACAGAGGCUGUUACACAUUUUUUAGAUGAUUUUCACUGUAUUUACAGGAAUGCACUCUGUCACAAAAAAAUAUAUGCAUUCAGAAAGAAACGAACUACAGUAGAAUUCCAAAAAUCCGCAAAGCUUGGGACCAGAGGUUGUGCGGAUUUUAGGAUUUCAGGACAGAAAAGAUAAAACAUAAUAUUCAGACUAAAGAUGAUCUUGGAGUCUGGAAGUAUUCAUAGCUUCAUUUGAGAAAACCUUCUUGAUGUAUUAGACACACAGGUACAAGGUUUGAUUCAAAAUACGUGCCGAAUCAAUGCUCUUUAAUUCAAACCUUUACAAUUGGCAUUCACUGCCCAACAUUCUAAGGAAGUCAAGCAAUAAAUCAAGACAAAAAUAAAGGCCAGUUUAAGGAACUUCUGAUGCAGGGUUGUCAGAGGCCGCAGACUGCGUGUGACCCAAGAAGCAACCAUGAAGAGCAAAAGAAAUAUCAAGACUCCACUCCACUGAUACAAUUUAAUGUUGUCGAUGGUGUUCGAGGCUGGCUUUUAACAUGAUGAGCCAGGUUAUUUAAUAGUCCAUGUUGGAGUAAAAUAAAAUACAUUUUUAGUGGAGUUACGAUUCCAAAUCUUCAUUUGACUUAUGCAUGAAGUGAUUAUCUUCAUUUUGAUAUUAUUGUUUGUAUGUUGCUAUUGUGCAUCUAUGUUCUUGUUAUAAAAAAUGAAAGGAUUCUAUGUUGAUGAUGUCAUUAUAUUAAAAAAAUAUGUUUUUA
rnacentral:misc_RNA from 1 species